UCCGAGUUGACCCCGGCAGUCUCCUAUGAGUCCCCGGCAUUACCCGCUGGCAACAUAGAACGAGGGUUGCGCUCGUUGCGGGACUUAACCCAACAUCUCACGACACGAGCUGACGACAGCCAUGCAGCACCUGUGUUCAGGUUCUCUUUCGAGCACAUCGCCAUCUCUGGCGACUUCCUGACAUGUCAAGGGUAGGUAAGGUUUUUCGCGUUGCAUCGAAUUAAUCCACAUCAUCCACCGCUUGUGCGGGUCCCCGUCAAUUCCUUUGAGUUUUAAUCUUGCGGCCGUACUCCCCAGGCGGGGUGCUUAAUGCGUUAGCUGCGGCACGGAGCGGGUUGAAGACCGCCCCACACCUAGCACCCAACGUUUACGGCUGGGACUAC
rnacentral:misc_RNA from 1 species